UACGGGGGGGGGCAAGCGUUGUUCGGAAUUACUGGGCGUAAAGGGUUCGUAGGUGGCCAAUUAAGUCAGACGUGAAAUCCCUCAGCUUAACUGGGGAACUGCGUCUGAGACUGGAUGGCUUGAGUGCAGGAGAGGAACGCGGAAUUCCAGGUGUAGCGGUGAAAUGCGUAGAUAUCUGGAGGAACACCGGUGGCGAAGGCGGCGUUCUGGACUGCAACUGACACUGAGGAACGAAAGCCAGGGGAGCAAACGGG
rnacentral:rRNA from 1 species